rnacentral:rRNA from 1 species
AGAACGAACGCUGGCGGCAUGCCUAACACAUGCAAGUCGAACGCUCCUGGGGCUUCGGUCUCAGGGGAGUGGCGCACGGGUGAGUAGCGCGUGGGAACCUGCCCUGUUGUGGGGGAUAACCGAGGGAAACUUCGGCUAAUACCGCAUAAGCCGGUUGUCUUGAAAGAGAUGACCGGGAAAGAUUUAUCGCGACAGGAGGGGCCCGCGUCGGAUUAGCUAGUUGGUGGGGUAACGGCCCACCAAGGCAGUGAUCCGUAGCUGGUCUGAGAGGAUGAUCAGCCACACUGGGACUGAGACACGGCCCAGACUCCUACGGAGGCAGCAGUGGGGAAUAUUGGACAAUGGGCGCAAGCCUGAUCCAGCAAUGCCGCGUGAGUGAUGAAGGCCUUAGGGUUGUAAAGCUCUUUCGCCCGCGACGAUGAUGACGGUAGCGGGAGAAGAAGCCCGGCUAACUCGUGCCAGCAGCCGCGGU